AUUGAACGCUGGCGGCGUGCUUAACACAUGCAAGUCGAUCGGUAACGCGGGGGCAACCCUGGCGACGAGAGGCGGACGGGUGAGGAACGCUUGGGAAUCUGCCUAUCAGCGGGGGACAACACGGGGAAACUCGUGCUAAUACCGCAUACGCUCUACGGAGGAAAGCCGGGGACCGCAAGGCCUGGUACUGAUAGAUGAGCCCAAGCCGGAUUAGCUAGUUGGCGGGGUAACGGCCCACCAAGGCGACGAUCCGUAGCUGGUCUGAGAGGACGAUCAGCCACACUGGGACUGAGACACGGCCCAGACUCCUACGGGAGGCAGCAGUGGGGAAUAUUGGACAAUGGGGGAAACCCUGAUCCAGCGACGCCGCGUGGGUGAAGAAGGCCUGCGGGUUGUAAAGCCCUUUCGGUAGGGACGAAAGCUCUCGACCUAACACGUCGGGGGGUUGACUUAACCUACAGAAGAAGCACCGGCUAACUCUGCGCCAGCCGCCGCCGUAAAAC
rnacentral:rRNA from 1 species